rnacentral:rRNA from 1 species
CCUACGGGAGGCAGCAGUAGGGAAUAUUGGGCAAUGGAGGAAACUCUGACCCAGCCAUGCCGCGUGCAGGAUGACGGCCCUCUGGGUUGUAAACUGCUUUUAUACGGGAAGAAAAAUGCUACGUGUAGCACAUUGACGGUACCGUAAGAAUAAGGAUCGGCUAACUCCGUGCCAGCAGCCGCGGUAAUACGGAGGAUCCAAGCGUUGUCCGGAUUUAUUGGGUUUAAAGGGUGCGUAGGCGGAUCUUUAAGUCAGUGGUGAAAGCCUGCAGCUCAACUGUAGAACAGCCAUUGAAACUGAAGAUCUUGAAUAUGGUUAAAGUAGGCGGAAUGUAUCAUGUAGCGGUGAAAUGCUUAGAUAUGAUACAGAACACCGAUAGCGAAGGCAGCUUGCUGAACCAUUAUUGACGCUGAGGCACGAAAGCGUGGGGAGCAAACAGGAUUAGAUACCCUGGUAGUCCACGCCCUAAACGUUGAUUACUCGUUGUUGGCGAUAUACUGUCAGCGACUAAGCUAAAGCGUUAAGUAAUCCACCUGGGAAGUACGACCGCAAGGUUGAAACUCAAAUGAGUAGAGNGNGAGAGNGCGACGGACGACACGAGGGAGGAGG